GUUGUGGCCCCAAAAGACGCGGUUUAAAAAAAUAAAAAAUUGGAAAAUUAAAAAAACAGCCCUUUGACCCAUGUCACGUGACCUGUGCGUCCAACGGUCCAAACGUGACGUUCAUGGUGUAGGAAGGCUACGGAGCAGAUAUAAGACGGGAACCACGAGGCUCCAGACCAGAGUGAGGGAGACGCAUCACACAGGUUCAGAACAAGAAAUUCAAGAGCAGAUGGUGAAACAAACAGAAUGUCGCAUUCACAGUCAGCAAAAAACAUUACAUUUCAGCCAGGGUUGAGCAGAACAACAGGAAUCAGAUCAACCAUUUGGAAAAGUGGACAGAGUAUUUACACCAGUCUGAAGCAAUGUUAAUAAAAAAAGAAGUUAUGAAAAGAUGUACACUGGAAAAGGAGCUCCAACAGAAUCAACUGCAGCUUCAAAAAGCAACAAUGACGUAUCAGAAGGCAAAGCCCUCUUUAAAGAGCUCAGGAUGACUUGUCUAAAGGUCUUAUAAUCAAAUGAAAGUGGAAUCUAGUGAAACCUGGGCAGGUCACAAGAAACUCUACACCGGAUCCUCAAAAAGGAACGUGCCUGUACAGAUUGCAGAGGAACCCACCCUCCCUCAGGUUGGAGCCCGUCGUUGUCUGUGCAUGUACGGGCCUUUACUUAUCAAACUGUAUAGUAUGAUGCUACAGAGAAGUUAUCAGUUUAUUAGGGACACCCAGUUCAAGCUAAGUCAGUCUAAUCCAGCAGUAAAUCCUCCUCCAUGAUUCAGAAGCAGCUACAUUGGCCAGGUGUGUUGGACACACAAGUAAUUUGACUCUGGUACCAAAGGUGUGAAGGUGAAGAUGUUCGGUUUGUGUUUUGGAGGCCUGAGUUUGUGCUGCUGUUCAACUGUACGGUGUUGUACAGAGGUUUUUUUGUUAUUGAGUCAAGCCCAGAAACACCUGUGACACAGUCGUCGAACAGCAGCACAAAUCCCAGCCUCCACAACACAAACCGAAUGUUAUCGCCUUCAAGAAGGAGCAGUUACUGCAGGUUAGACUGACUUAGGUUUAGCUGGGUGUUCUUAAUAAACUGAUAUAUUAAAAUAUCCUUUCCUGUUAUUUUGCAGAAUUUAGUACAACACUGAUACGAUUCUAUCUUAAAUCAAUGUCAGAUCUAUUCGUGUUCACCCUGAUCAUGACAAGAUCAUUGAAAUGAAAAGACUAAAACCUCACGAUUCCUGAAUCUAUUGGCUCCAGCAAAUGUAGUUAUCAGCCAGAAAGCAGAGGUGUGCUCUGAUCCAGUCCUAAGGAACACUCCCCUUACAGAGACUACAGUUGACCAUUUGCCUCUGAUCAGCUUGUUCAUCUGUGCCACACACCUCCAGUGUUGUUCAGAAACUAUUAAAACACACCACAUCGCUGGGUGACGCUUCCUUAUUACGAAACACCAGACCCUGAUAUUUAAGAAUAUCCAGAGACCUUGUGCACGGGCCGUGACUUCUGCCACUUUAGAUGUUGUAAAAAGUUAUGCCCUCUCAAAGCCUACGGGACGUUUAAAAAUAAAAAU